UCUUUUUUCAGAAAAGGAGCAACAUCGUAGAACCAAAUCGCCGACUCUUGUAUUGAUAAAGAAGAUAAAAACAGGAUAAAUUCUUGAAAAAAUUCAGAAAAUAUGUGGAGAGAAUGGUUCAGUGAACAGCCCGUAACAAGAAUAAAAAACAUGAAAUGAUGACAAACGAGUGGCAAAGUAAUAAGACGGAAUGAUUUUGGUCAGAGCCGGUCCUAGGAUGCAUAAGACUAGAAGCAAAAAAAAAAAAAAAGUGACCACUUUUAAAAAGAAAAAAAAUGAUCUAGGUGAGAUUUGAACCCAGGUUACUCAUACUAAGACUCUUUUUUUGAUGACAUACCACUGGACUAAGACAUAAUUUUAUUUAUUUGUGGCCGAAUUUUGUUAAAGAAUACGUCGGCUGUAGAAGCAGCUUGAUUUUGGUCAUAGGCAUUAAUUAAAGGGUGAAUUGGGUUAAAACCCUAAAAAAAUGAAAAUACCAAUGAUGUGACUAGUUUGUGUCUAUGGAAAAAGGUAUAACAUUGUGGAAUUUAGGGUAUUUGGUUAAUUAGGGUAAAAGUUUAGUGUAUGUGGUGCAAUUUCUCUUAAUUAAAUGCUACAUUGGAGAUCGUUCCAAAAGACCGUCAUGG
rnacentral:lncRNA from 1 species